UAAACAUCUGCAGCCCUCGCCUAAUGUGAUUUUGGACAGAGGGUGACGAGGGAUGAGCUGGUAUCCACCUUCCAGGCCCCACCUUCACUUUAGGAGCUCGGGGACCACAGGGACCGUACAGCUGAUGCAGUUUGGAGUUCUGGCCCCUCCUCACAACAGGAAGGUUUUAAGAUGCUGAGUCGAGGCAGAGUCUCAGCUUCUGGAGGAGACUGUGAAGACCCCCUGAUUUCUAGUCCCCACAGGGGCCAAAAGGUAAGGAAACAGCUACAGUGACCAGUGGGGGACAGGGAAGCCUGCAGACCAGAGCCCCGUCUAAAGAGAGCGCCGGCUCUCAAUGCCAGCCCGCAGUUCCCUAGGGGACCAGCAGGGCAAGAGCAUCUCUUCCAGUUAUUCAGGAGAAGCUGGAAAUCUAGACUUGAUGUAAAUUAUUCCGAUUUUUUAAUGUUGGCAAUUAAUUCAAAAAAAUG
rnacentral:lncRNA from 1 species